AUUGUAGUCAUAUGCUUGUCUCAAAGAUUAAGCCAUGCAUGUCUAAGUGCAAGGCCAUUUAGGCCGAAACCGCGAACGGCUCAUUACAACAGGCAUAAUCUACCGGGAGUUCCUUUACAUGGAUAACUCUGUCGACCCAGAGCUAAUACAUGCACAAAAGCCCUGCCUUAUGGCGGGGUGCAUCUAUUAUACCAAAACUAACCAGGCUUUGCCUGCAGUUUGGUGACUCUGAAUAGAGAGUUAAUGGCGCAGUCUUAGCACUGGCCAUGUUCCCGUCGAGUGUCUGCCUUAUCAACUUUCGAUGGUAGUUUAUGUGCCUACCAUGGUUGCAACGGGUAACGGGGAAUAAU
rnacentral:rRNA from 1 species